UUAUCACAUUCCUAACUAAUAGAGAAACAAGACAACUACAUAUACAUAUCAUAUAAACCAAAUAAAACUUAGUUACACGUAAUUCACGUAAUUCCACCACUUUGUCAUUCAAAGUUCACUUUUCAAUCAUCAAUCACAUUACACAAGAAUUACAAGCUCUGAUCAAGACAUAAUAAUACAUCAAUUUCAUAAUAAACAAUUAGCAA
rnacentral:lncRNA from 1 species